CCUACGGGAGGCAGCAGUGGGGAAUAUUGGACAAUGGGGGGAACCCUGAUCCAGCCAUGCCGCGUGUGUGAAGAAGGCCCUCGGGUUGUAAAGCACUUUCAGCGAGGAAGAACGCCUGGUGGUUAAUACCCAUCAGGAAAGACAUCACUCACAGAAGAAGCACCGGCUAACUCCGUGCCAGCAGCCGCGGUAAUACGGAGGGUGCGAGCGUUAAUCGGAAUUACUGGGCGUAAAGCGCGCGUAGGUGGCUUGAUAAGCCGGUUGUGAAAGCCCCGGGCUCAACCUGGGAACGGCAUCCGGAACUGUCAAGCUAGAGGGCAGGAGAGGAAGGUAGAAUUCCCGGUGUAGCGGUGAAAUGCGUAGAGAUCGGGAGGAAUACCAGUGGCGAAGGCGGCCUUCUGGACUGACACUGACACUGAGGUGCGAAAGCGUGGGUAGCAAACAGGAUUAGAUACCCUGGUAGUC
rnacentral:rRNA from 1 species